rnacentral:rRNA from 1 species
UACGUAGGGUGCAAGCGUUGUCCGGAAUUAUUGGGCGUAAAGAGCUCGUAGGCGGUCUGUCGCGUCGGCUGUGAAAACUCGGGGCUCAACCCCGAGCCUGCAGUCGAUACGGGCAGACUAGAGUGCUGUAGGGGAGACUGGAAUUCCUGGUGUAGCGGUGAAAUGCGCAGAUAUCAGGAGGAACACCGGUGGCGAAGGCGGGUCUCUGGGCAGUAACUGACGCUGGAGGAGCGAAAGCAUGGGGAGCGAACAGG